UCCUCUUAUACUCUGCACUUUUCAGGUGAGACUUCUGUUGUUUCAGGAAUCACUGAGAAGAAACAUUGAGGCUGGGGAUUGACAACAGCCAGGGCUGUUCAUGCAAUGACCAAGGAAGAAGUUGAGCAUGGACAAUGGAGAAGUUUUUGUUAAGAAACAAGCAAAAUGUUUUCUCCCUGAAGAAGAAAGAGGAGGAUGAAGCAGCAGAAGACAAUGUGGAAAGAAAACAGGCAGAACAAAAGGAAGUUUCACAGUAGAGAAACAUCAAAGACAAUAUCCUCUUCAAGAAGAAGAACGAGGUGCACCUUGCUAGGAUAUCCCAGCAAGUGAGAUAAGUCACUUGUUCUAAACAGACUACGUCAACAUUUUGCAGUUAUUUACUGGUGCAGCACUGUAUAACCAAAGGAUAGGAAAAUCUGGUUUGAAGAGGAACAGCUGCUGCUAAUAAUGUAAGUGAUAAACUGAAAUGAACAAUGGAUAUUAAGUUUUUAAAGUUUUGUGGGUCCCUCUGGCUAUGCCACCUAUUACAGGCCUGCUUUGGGGCUCUCCUGAUUCAAUAGGAACUGACAAGUCAAACCAAUGUGAAAUCCUAAUCAGAACAUGCAUGCUUGUGGGAAU
rnacentral:lncRNA from 1 species